GAAAGUGGCUGAGACUUAAACUUUCUUUAGAAGGGAAAAUGUAUUAGGAUCCCUAGAUUUCCUUUCAUUCCUGGGGUGCCAGGUGAUUCUUGAAGUAAAAUCUCAAUUUUUUCUGGUCUUGAUGAAGUGUUUUGACCUUGACGUUAACAUAAACAUUGCUGUUUAAUCUCCACAUCAGUCCUUGUGUUCAUUCUUGGGCCCCUACAGGAUCCUAUUCUGGUCUAUCUUGUGGCCUGGCUGGAACCACUUCUGGGGAUUUUCCAGGACCAAUAGUCUCCAAACAUGGUACCUGAAGGGCUGGGCAUUAGCAGAGGUUGUGUGUCAUCCUUGCUUUCUGUGGGCAGGAAGGUAGAGCUGGAGGAGUCUUGUGUCCAUAUUUUUUACACCUAUCCAGAAGCGACAUGAGUCAUACCCUGAAAUAAACACAAUUGACUGACAGUUUGGACCCGCUGCUGGUCGUGUAAGAACCUCUAGGCUGUAGAACCGCUGCUCCGUCCAGACCAACCACUUGCUUGAGAUCUUUUGGAGUCUGGGCUGCAUGCAGAGGAGAGAACUCCUUGCUGAGUAGUUCGUGCUAGUUCUUUGUCUAAUUGCACUUCCUGGUUCAACCAAAUGUAAACAGAUGAGAAGAACCUAAGCCAGAAAGGGCAUUAGGACUGUGACUUGGGUAAUAAACUACCCCAGGGUCAUAAUGGACUCAUUCCUGGAUAGACAUGGGAUUGAGUCUAGGGUGAGAAAAGCUGAAUGAGUGAGUGAUGAUGCGUCGUCAUUUAAAAAAUGUCUCACUGUGUUUAUGCAAACGGUAGACCAGAUGUUAGAUGGAGCCCCUCUUUGACUGUUUCUUUGAAGUUUUCAAGAGAACAAUUGUGAGCUUAUGGGGAACAGUGAAAAUUAUUUGUUUUUGGCUCUGCUGGGUUUUACUUGCGGCACGGGCUUUUCUCUCUAGUUUCAACUCCUCUCUAGUUGCAGUGCGUGAGCUUCUCAUUUUGGUGGCUUCCCUUGUUGCAGCUCCCAGGCUCUAGAGCGCAGGCUCAGUUGCAGUACACGAGCCUAGCUGCACUGCAGCACGUGGGAUCUUCCCGGCCCAGGGAUCAAACCCUUGUCCCCUGCAUCGUCAGGUGGAUUCUUUACCACUGAGCCACUAGGAAAGCUUCCCAAUGAAAUUGACUAAGGUUCCUGUAUGCCAGACCCGUGAGGUAAAAUCAAAAAACAUGCAAUAAACCCCAAUAAGAGAAGAAUAAUGAAUUGAAUUACAGUUGACCCUUGAACAACAUGGGUUUGAAUUGCAUGUGUCCACUUAUACCUGGAUCUCUUUCAUUAGUAAAUACUACAGUACUAUGAUCUGCCUUGGUGGAAUCUGUGGAUGUGGUAAACCAGAGCUGACUGUAGAGGCGUCCAUGGAUUUUCCUCUCCAAGGGGACAGCACCCUUAGCCCCACCCUGUUCAAGGGUCAACUAUGCUUCUGUUGUUUUUGACUGCCAAUGUUUCGUGAAAUGAACUGUUAAAAAAUUUCUGGGCACAACAGCUUGGCUUGCAGGGUCUUAGUUCCCUGACCAGGGAUGGAACCUACUCCCUCGGCAGUAAAAGCAUGGAGUCCUAACUGCUGAACCACCAGGGAAGUCCCUCUUAACCAUUGUUAAGUAUCCUGUGACAUUAAAAACAUUCACACUGUCCUGCGACCCUCAUCACCAUUCAUCUCCAGGAGAUUCUAUAUUUUGCCUCAGUAAGAAAAGCACACUAAAAACGCUGUCAUGUGGUGAGGUCAGUUCAGCUGUAACUGAGGUGUUAGCCUCAUACGUCCGGACACACAGGACCAUCUGCUUCCUGCUGCGGCUACCAAGAGUGGUGGACACUGUUCUGCUGGACACCUGUGCCCUCCACAUCAGCACGGACUUGCCUGCUUCUCCACUGACCGAGAGCUCCCAAGGGUCGAGACAGUCCUGCUCAUCGUCCUCCCGAGUCAUCCGUGUGAGGAAGGCUCCCAUGAACGUGCGCUGAACGCCUAGUGGUCCUCGUGUCAGCACGCAGCCUGGUACCUUUCCAAGGCUUUCUCAAAGAAAACAGUGCUGCAUCUGUUAAAUGGCUCAAGAAACCAUGUGCGAUUUAGAGUCUUGAACUGGGGAGCCUUUUGCACAAUUUCCUGGAACCACUGCUUCUGGUUAGCAUGUGCGUUCAUGUCUCUGUUCCUUCUUGCUGAAGUGAACUCUCAGGCUCUCCCACCCGACAUGGGGCCUUCAGCACUUCCCUUCCUCCUUGUCCUGUGGUUUCCUGGCCCGCCUUCAGGUUGCCUAUCUACCCAGCCCAAAGGGCCUGGACCACUGCAAAUAAGCCAUUCCUCCAGCAGCUCAGAAAAGUCCAAACUAAGACCUCAUGUUUUUCUUCUUCAGAAACUCCAACAAUUGCCAGGAAUCAGAAGGAUUAUAAAAUAAGGGGAGGGGUCUUUGCAUGCUGCAGUAGGAGGACCUGGCCGCCUUGCUUCUCAGCUGAGUCACAGAUGGUCCGCUGCAGGCCCUUCUUCCUCUCCGGAGCCCCAAAGCCAGAAAUAGAGUGUGUGAUAAGGGCUUCCAUUCCUGGACAGCUGAACAGUUUGUACCAUUUCAAAACUGCAUAAUCCUGUUCAGACAGUUUUCAAUAUAUGUUCAGCAUUGCCGUCCAUGGUCUCAGUUGCAUGCAUUUUCUUCACUAGAAAAUGCAACCAGCAUACACUGAAAAGAGUGUUUUGCUUAAGGCUGAAGGGUUCCUACUUUCAACCUACCUUGUAAUUUUCAUCGUGUCUUUUCCUAGCAUUCAUAUCAACACCUUGGACUUUUAGCAUCCCACUACAUUUUUUAAAUUACCACUUUAAAAUACAAUGAAAAGCUCAAAUAAGACACUAUCCCAUCUAUCACCUGUUGGGACUAGGACGGAGCUCCUGGUGACUCUGAACUUGGAGGGCGGGCGGUAGCACCAUGCAACAGGCAGGAAUGUGCAUUCAUUGUUUGAGAGGGAAAAGUCUGAGUUUGGGGCAGAAAAUUAGUUUGGGGAUGUCAACAUAUUAUUAUGAAAGUUGGACAUGCUGCAGUGAAGACUGCUUACAAUGUAAGGAAAUCUCGUUUUACAGACAGGAAACUCAUUCAUUCAUUCAUCAGCAAUAUGUCUUAGUGGUUUAGUUUAGUUGCUGAGUUGUGUCUGACUCUUUGUGACCCCAUGGACUGUAGCCCACCAGUCUCCUUUGUCCGUGGUAUUUCCCAGGCAAGAAUACUAGAGUGGGUUGCCAUUUCCUACUGCAGGGGAUCUUCUGAACCCAGGGAUUGAACCAAAUUCUCUCGUCUCUUGCAUUGGCAGGCAGGUUCUUUACCACUAGUACCAUCUGGGAAGCCCUAGAGAGGGUUGCCAGAUUUGACGAAUACAAAUAGAGAAUGCCCAGGUUACACUUGAAUUUCAGGCGUGCAAUGAAUGAAUUUUUAGUAUAUCUCAUGCAAUGUUUGGGACGCACUUAUACUAAACAAUGAUUGGCUGUUUUGUGAAAUGCCGAUGUUGCUGGGUGUCCUGCAUUUUCUCUGGCAGUGGGAGGCUGUGGGGCUGGAGCCGGGAGGUCAGACUGAGAAUGGGCAGUGGAUGUCCAUGGGAAGGCCUUGCUGAUGAGCUGGAUCUGGGGAGUGAGACAGAGGAGUACAAGAUGACUUCCGGGUCUCCAACCUCAGCACCUAGGAGGCCCUUAACUGAGCUGGAGAAGCUGGGGCGGGAAGUGUGUGUGUUGUGAUGCUGACAAGCCUUGUUUAAGGGAGUGUAAACAGGAAGACAUAGACAUUUCAUGAAUUGUCCCCUGCUUCUCCGUACAGGCCCACCCCUCCAACUGUCUCCCCUUCCCCCCAUCUUGUGUUCUCUGCUCCAAAGGAAUAGAGAAAAGCAGUUCAGGACACAGGUGACUGGGACGAGCUAUUUUCUAAAUAAACAUUUAGAUCCCCUGGAGAAGGGAAUGGCAACCCACUCCAGUAUUCUUGCCUGGAGAAUCCCAUGGACCGAGGAGCCUGGUGGGCUAUAGUCCUUGGGGUCACAAAGAGUCAGACAUGACUGAGCAACUAAUAUUUGCACGCUUUCAAGCUGCUACUAAGGGAAAUGGUGGGAAAACAGAAAUGUGCUUCCUAGGGACUGGGCUACAGAAUAUUUCUAUUAAUAGUUCCUUGUGUAACAUUUCUGUGCGCCUCUUUUGCAAUGUGUCUUUAAGGAUCCAUCGAUAGGCAUAAUGAAACGGGACAAACAGGGCAGUUUUGCAAUGAAGUGGUUAUGUGGACAACCAGGGACAGGCAAAAUAAGCUGGGUGCAGAAGUGUCUUAGUCCAGCUUUUAUAAAAUCCAACAUUACAAUUAUACCAGACAUUACAACUGUAAUAUCUAACAUUACAAUUGGGCUUCACAGGUGGCUCCAUGGUAAAGAAUCCACCUGUCAGUGCAGGAGACGUGGGUUUGAUUCCUGGGUUGGGAGGGUCCCUUGGAGGAAGAAAUGUCAAUCUACUCCAGCAUUCUUGCCGGGACAGUGGAGCCUGGUGGGCUACAGUCCAUGGGGUCACAAAAGAGUCAGACUCGACUUGGCAACUAAACAAACACUACAACUAAGUGCAUGGCUACACUGAAGUAUUUUCUGAAAUUUUAGCCCAAAUAAGAAUUUUAGCCCUCUCAUUUCUAUUUUUAUGAAGAAAAAACAAGUGUAUACAAGCACAGUUGUGAUAUUGCAUUUCCUGAUUAAAAAGAUACAUCUUUAAAAAAAAAUUGGACUACAAAUAUUAAGAUUUCUUUCAAAGUGGUCCUUGUAAAGUUCAUUCUCCUUGACUUUAUUUUUAUGUAGGGUGAAGCCACUUGAUUGAGUAAAUAUUUUGAUUACAGAGGGUUUGGAUGUAAAAUGGCCCCUUAUCCCGAGAAUGUUUUUGAAAAGUGAAAACUGGACAUAUGCCAUGACUCUGACUUUUUCUCCACCCCUUCUACUUAAAUCUUUUAGUAAAACAAUUUUACCAGAAAUUCCAUAUGAACAGUCAAUAAGGCUUGUUACUGUUGCUCUAUUUCCAAAGUUGCUCAGCUUCCAGUGGCAGACAGAAUGUCCCCUAAGUCAAACCUGGAGAAUUGUAAUGUGUGUUAUGAAUGCUCACUUGCUUCACGUGGAUUUGAAUUCAGGGGUCUGCCUAGGGCAGGGUCCAAGAAUCUGUAUUUUUAACAAAUACGCCAGCCAUUUUCGCAGGCUGGCAAAUCUGGAAAACACUGGCUUGAGUGAAAUAAUUAAAAUAUAGUCAUUGAGGACUUCCCUGGUGGCUCAGUGGUAAAAAAAUCCACCUGUCAGUGCAGGAGACAAGAGUUCCAUCCUUGGUCUGGGAAGAUCCCACAUGAAGAACCUAACCCGAGCGCAACUAACCACUGAGCCGAGCCUGUGCUCCUCAAGAAGAAAAGCCAUCACGAUGAGAAGCCCAGGCACCGUUACAGAGUCGCCCCUGCUCGCCGCAACUAGAGAAAGCCCUCACGCAGCAGCAGAGACCCAGCACAGUUAAUAAAUAAAUAAAUAAUUAAAAAAAUAAAAUACAGUCGUUGCAUUCCAACUGUCUUGAAGGUGUGAGUGAAAGAGCCUUUUGAGAGAUUGAAGGAGAAAUAAUGGCACGUAAGUGGUUUCAUGUGUUACACAGUUCAUCAGAGUUUGGUCUGCUGAUGGGCUUGAAAGCAUCCUGGGCACUGACGGUGCUGUGUGUUCAAGACAUGAGCCAGGAGGGACGGUCAGUUCUGCCCGGUAGCUCCGGACAGCUUUGCACACAGGACGAGGCAUUUGAAAUGGUUCAUUUGAAACCAGAAGGAGGAGGUUGCUUAUGGGCUGGUGGGGUGGAGAAGGGGAGGGACAUUAUUCUAGGAAGGAGCAGGUGUGAUGGUUAGAGGAGAAUGGGGCCCUCAGGUGUGGGGUUCCCAUGGAGCUGGUCCUUAGGGUGGGUGGGGUGAGGUGAGCGGCUUGUGGAACCAGGAAUGUAGGCUGCUGUGAAGGGAGAGUCUUGCCAAGCUCUGUUGUGUGAGGAACAAGGAAAUGGCAGAGAGCUGCAGUUGUUUUUGGAAAGAGAACUGGAAGAGCACUGUGUGGCAUGGCGGAUGGGCUGGGGGUGGGGGUAGA
ensembl:lncRNA